rnacentral:rRNA from 1 species
UACGUAGGUGGCAAGCGUUGUCCGGAUUUAUUGGGCGUAAAGCGCGCGCAGGCGGUCCUUUAAGUCUGAUGUGAAAUCUUGCGGCUCAACCGCAAGCGGUCAUUGGAAACUGGGGGACUUGAGUACAGAAGAGGAAAGCGGAAUUCCACGUGUAGCGGUGAAAUGCGUAGAGAUGUGGAGGAACACCAGUGGCGAAGGCGGCUUUCUGGUCUGCAACUGACGCUGAGGCGCGAAAGCGUGGGGAGCAAACAGG